rnacentral:piRNA from 1 species
UGCCUUAGCCCUGAUAUUGUAGUAUUC